rnacentral:misc_RNA from 1 species
GAUGAAGAACGUAGUGAAAUGCGAUAAUUAAUGUGAAUUGCAGAAUUAAGUGAAUCAUCGAGUCUUUGAACGCACAUUGCGCCCCCUGGUAUUCCGGGGGGCAUGCCUGUCCGAGCGUCAUUGCUGCCCUCAAGCACGGCUUGUGUGUUGGGCUUCCGUCCCUGGCAACGGGGACGGGCCCAAAAGGCAGUGGCGGCACCAUGUCUGGUCCUCGAGCGUAUGGGGCUUUGUCACCCGCUCCCGUAGGUCCAGCUGGCAGCUAGCCUCGCAACCAAUCUUUUUAACCAGGUUGACCUCGGAUCAGGUAGGGAUACCCGCUGAACUUAAGCAUAUCAAUAAGCGGAGGA